rnacentral:rRNA from 1 species
UGCUAAGGUAGCGAAAUUCCUUGCCUUUUGAUUGUAGGCCUGCAUGAAUGGUUUAACGAGGGUUUAACUGUCUCUUGAUUUAAAAUUGAAAUUGUACUGAAGGUGAAGAUACCUUCAUUAAAAAGUCAGACAAAAAGACCCCGUGCAACUUUGAAAAUUAACUUUAUUCAGAAGUGAAAGAUUUUUAGGUGGGGCGCCUAGAAAGUAAAUCUAACCUUUCUGAACAUUUAGUUCUUUCCGGACUUGACCCGAUUAUAUUCGAUCAUAGGAGAAGUUA